GAGUUAAGCAUAAAGUCAGUCUACUUUAUUUGCAGUCUUAAUUGUAACUGUCAUAAUUCUUUGCAUUGGUACAUUUUUCAUUAUUCUUCCUCUUCCUGUUCCUUUUUUCUGUCCUUUUCACAGUUAUCCUCAAUAACCACUAGGAACCUCUGCUUCUUUCUCCUGAAUUUCUUCUUUCUCCUACAUUGGUCUAUAUACUAAUCAGUUCAGUUAGUGUUGCUUACUUCAGGUAGUAAAAGUAUACACAGAACAGCGAAAUGUCAGUCAGCAUAUGUGAAAUAUAAAUUGCUUUUUGACAGUUUUCCCUUAUAUCCUUGUAUAAUGUGAGACAUCAUAUCCUGAAUUCUCUGUUUUGUUUUGUUGUUUUGAAACAGAGUCUCACUCUGUCUCCCAGGCUGGAGUGCAGUGGCACGAUCUCUGCUUACUGCAACCUCCACCUCCUUGGUUAAAAGCGAUUCUCCUGCCUUAGCCUCCCAAAUAGCUGGGACUACAGGCGUGUGCCACCAUGCCUGGCUAAUUUUGUAUUUUUAGUAGAGAUGGGGUUUCAUCCUGUUGGCCAGGCUGGUCUUGAACUUCUGACCUCAGGUGAUCUGCCCACCUCAGCCUCCCAAAGUGCUGGGAUUACAGGCAUAAGUCACUGCGCCUGGCCUCUGAAUUGUUUUGAAAGAAUAAAUUUCCACUUGUGUAUCUCCUUAAAGCUAUACUAACCUAAAGUUGGUAGUUCCCCCUGGGCAUUUGCCAGGGAUGGUAGCUUCUAGACUUUGAGUGAUGGGAGAAUAAUUGUUAGUGUAGGUAAGUUGUUGGUUUUAUCCACCUCAAACCUGAUUGGGACUUCAGAGGAACCUCUUUGGGAAGCUAAUGAUUCAGGGUAUUGAAGACAUUAGCAUAGAAUAUUAGUGGUUCUUUUUGUUUCAGAAGUUCAUUGUUGUGAUUAAAUUGCCAUCUGAUAAUUUUUAUAGAACAGAUGCUUAAUUUUUAGAGCAUUUUUCUAUUUUCCAGCCUUUGCAAAAUGUUAGCACAGUGCUGCAGAAGCCUAAUCCUCUCUAUAAUCAGAAUACAGAUAUGGUCCAGAAAUCAGUCAGCAAAACCUUGCCCUCUACUUGGUCUGACCCCAGUGUAAACAUCAGCCUAGACAACUUACUACCUGGUAUGCAGCCUUCCAAACCCCAGCAGCCAUCACUGAAUACAAUGAUUCAGCAACAGAAUAUGCAGCAGCCUAUGAAUGUGAUGACUCAAAGUUUUGGAGCUGUGAACCUCAGUUCUCCAUCGAACAUGCUUCCUGUCCGGCCCCAAACUAAUGCUUUGAUAGGGGGACCCAUGCCUAUGAGCAUGCCCAAUGUGAUGACUGGCACCAUGGGAAUGGCCCCUCUUGGAAAUACUCCAAUGAUGAACCAGAGCAUGAUGGGCAUGAACAUGAACAUAGGGAUGUCCGCUGCUGGGAUGGGCUUGACAGGCACAAUGGGAAUGGGUAUGCCCAACAUAGCCAUGACUUCUGGAACUGUGCAACCCAAGCAAGAUGCCUUUGCAAAUUUCGCCAAUUUUAGCAAAUAAGAGAUUGUAAAAGAAGCAGAUUGAAUGAAGAAUUUUUAGCUGUGCAGAUAGGUGAUGUUGGGAUGGAAAAUGCUAAUCAACUACCCUUUCUUUUAUCAAGUAAUUAAAAUAAAUCUACAUAAAGAACCAAAAAGGCUGUUUUAUAAAAGUGAAAUAUCCAGUAUUUCAGAGGGCCAGGCAAGAGCGCUUCAGAUGAGGCAGUCAGAAUCAUUUUUUCCAGUGAGGAUAGACCACAAGUGGGUGGUGAGACCAUUGAAAGCCUUUAUCAACUAAAGAGCCCAUUUAACAGCAUAAUUUGUGGGAAGACUGGAAUAGGGCUGAAUAAAUGUGUUUGAAUCUCUAAUUUUAUACUUUCUUUUCCUGAGGAACUUGAUUUUUCUGUCCCUGGAUCGCCUUGUCAUAAUUGGGUCUGUUCCUUUUACUACCACUCUUGAGUCCAUAUAUGAAAUCAUUAAAGUUGGAUGAUCAGUUUUUUAUAAAAAUAUAUAUUUUUGUCCAAAAAAAGCAUACAUAUGUGAUUAUGGCUAAAUCAAAGGUAACUGGAAUGUAUAUACUUUUGCUAAUGUUCCAGCAACACUGCUAUUAUACUAUCCAAAUUUUUAUUGUAACAAAACCUCUUUAAGCAGUUGGUGAUCGCUAUGGGACUUUUCCCAUGUCUUCUGCUGUAAUUAUCCUGUGCAGAACUAGGAAAAAAUUGUUUUCAGGACUGCUCUAUGGUUUCCUUUAAAAGAAAAAAACUUCUGUUUGUUUUUAGCAGUCAUUAUUUACAAUUUGCAGUGAUUAACUUGGCAAGGCUUCCUUCCGUGUUUAUCUCUGUAGCCAUCAUUUAAAUGAAAAAUAUUUAUUUUUUUUUUUUUUGGGUGUCUGCAAAGAUAAAAAUCCAUUAAAACCUUAAAUAUAAAUGUUACAACUCAAUGUUUGCUUUUAGAUUUUAUACAGUAUUUGUUUUGUUUUGGUUUUGAGUGUAUAUAAUGCAGCAUUAGCAAUAUGGUUCCAAUAGAGGAGUUAAAUAUAUAUUAUUAAAGGAGACCUGUAGCAGUCAAAGAUUUUAUUGAUUUAAUGACAAAGGAAAUUAAUUAAAAUGUUUUUGUUUUUCUGCUGUAAUUCUGCAUUAAGCUCACAUGAAAAUCAUGAUUCUAGAGUUUGGAAUGCAAAAUUAAUUGUUUUACCCUCAAGCUGGGAAUAUUUUUCAAAAUAAAUGCUAUAAUAUAGAUAUCAAAUUAUUACCUCCCCAUGUUAUGUUGAAAAUUUUUUUAUUAAAUUGAUAAAACUUUAUUUCCAUUAUAUUCAUAAUGUUCUGUUAUACAUAACAUUAAAAUGUUCAUUAAAAUCAA
rnacentral:sRNA from 1 species